rnacentral:misc_RNA from 1 species
GAUGAAGAACGUAGUGAAAUGCGAUAAUUAAUGUGAAUUGCAGAAUUCAGUGAAUCAUCGAGUCUUUGAACGCACAUUGCGCCCCCUGGUAUUCCGGGGGGCAUGCCUGUCCGAGCGUCAUUGCUGCCCUCAAGCACGGCUUGUGUGUUGGGCUUCCGUCCCUGGCAACGGGGACGGGCCCAAAAGGCAGUGGCGGCACCAUGUCUGGUCCUCGAGCGUAUGGGGCUUUGUCACCCGCUCCCGUAGGUCCAGCUGGCAGCUAGCCUCGCAACCAAUCUUUUUAACCAGGUUGACCUCGGAUCAGGUAGGGAUACCGGCUGAACUUAAGCAUAUCAAUAAGCGGAGGA